UACCCAUGUCCUGCACCUCACACAUCUGUGGGGGAAUUACCGGUUCCCCAGUCCAGCACCAGAUGGCAGCAGUGGGCUGAGCCGAAGUCCCCUGUGCUGGCAACUCAUGAUACAGUCUUUCCACAGCCACAUGAUAGCCACUCAAUGAAUGGGCCAGAACAAUGACAAACCUACUGCAAUCACAGUUUUUGGAGCUGGCUCCUCCUCUGUUUGUUUCAUGGUAAAUUACAUAAUGAUUUGUUAUUGAAAAGCAUACUCAAUUUGAGGAAGUGGAAGCCUGUGCCUGUUCAGUUGGGAGAAUGUUUUCUGAUUGGAUUGGCACACUAAAUACAUGUUGUGAAUGGAGACAAUGUUCCAGAAUAGAACAACGUUGAUUCUCAAUACUAGGGUUCCUGAGAAUGAGGAGAAGGAGGACAGAAGCACACUGCCAAGCGCCGUCAGCUUGGCUGAUGUCCAUGUUGGUAGUCCAGACAAGCUAGGUGGUAAAGUUAAGAGCCAGAAAAUCUCCAGGUUAUUUCCUCUCCAUAGAAAUAGCAGGAGCAGUCGGUUUGGAGAGAAAUCUUCUGGAAUUCUCACCAGCAGUCUAUCCAACCCUGCGGACACCACCGCCAGCCCAAUGACAUCCCUCAAAUCCAGCAAGGCCACCACCCCCGUCAGCCUCAUGUUUAAACACAGCCUGUCCUCAUCUAAAAACAAGAGGAAGCAGAGUAGAGGACACGGCAGAACCACUGAUGCGGGGGUCACGGAUGGUUCAUUGUUUGAGGUGUUGCGUGAGGCCAUCUACUCUGAGAUGGCUAAUGUGAUAUCUCAGAAUGAGACUAGGCCCAGCUGCAGCUGCUCAACACAGACUACCUACGGCAGAGAGCACUAUUCGCCCUGAAGAAAUGUGACUGAAGACCAGCAUGUGCCUGCCAGCCCUGUUCUCCAGGCUUCCCCCACCACAGAACUGACAUCCAGAGAGACCAUGUUCUUAAGACAUCAUUGCUGUAUGUAUGCGUUUCUCUGACCUGCAAUCACCUGACUAAUGUAACACAUUACAUCCUUUGUUAGUUUUAUGAACAGACCAAAAUUACCAUAACAAUAAUAAUAUUCAUGUCACUGUUUAUUUGAUUUGUAAGAGGAUUAUUCAGGAAAGAGACAGAAAAUAAAUGUUUCAGAAGGAGGUGAAUGCAUCCUGUCUAUCGCCUCCCACCUUGAGCCAUUUGCCAAUGAGGAUCUGGGUAAAAACCGUUCAUGGAUUUGAACACUGCUGUCUCCUUAAUUAAUAGUCUAUGCUAUAUGUCUAAGUGUCUGUUUAACUUUGAUCUGUUGCUAUGAUUGACUGGACACCCUGCUGUUUUUUAGGUGCCUGUGAUGGUACUAACUCUUCCUUAAAUGAAAUCCAGUGUACACAAGUUGACACUCAACAACUUGACAGGCAGAUAAAUGCUAUCAUGGCUGAGAUCCUUCCCAUUUUGAAGGUUAAACACAAUGCUUGGUGUAGGAUAUUUGGGAUUUCAAAGCCCUGAAUGUGUAUACUUAUUGCAUUUUAUGCCAUUUCUUAGCUGAAAAAGAUUUCUUUAGAACUGAAAUGAAGAACUUGUUCAUUUCUCACUGUGUGUUGUGUUGUCAGGAGCGUGUGGAGGAGGAGUUAUCUUCUUAUCUCCUGGCGUCCAUCAGACACAAGGUUCUGGCUCUGACAGCAGAGAAUUCAUCCACUUCUUCCACAAACAGCUCAGUGAUGUUCUGCAGCUGAGAAAACAUCACAUCCUGCUUGCGUCCCAAAUCGCACUCCAUUCUCUAUAAAGUGCACUUACUUUUGACUCAUACUGUAGGAUUCUGGUCAAAAGUAGUGCACUGUCAAAUCAAAUUAUAUCAAAUUGUAUUUGUCACAUGCGCCGGAUACAACAGGUGUAGACCUUACAGUGAAAUGCUUACUUACAAUGCAGUUUUAAGAAAAAUAAGAGUUAAGGAAAAUAUUUACUAAAUAAACUAAAGUAAAAAAAUAAAAGAGCAACAAUAAAAUAUAUACCAGUAUCAAUAGCAAGGCUACAUAGGGGGUACCAGUACCGAGUCAAUUUUUGUUUUUAUUUUUUGUUUUAAUUUGGAUCUCUUUUAAUCCUAAUUUGGACUCCUCUUCCAAGAGUCUUUAAACAUUAAAAUACAAUUUAUAAUAUGAACACAUUUUCACAUUUAAACGCACUGUUACAAACAGACAUAAUGCACUAACAUAUUGACCCGAUAAAUAACAGUCAAAAAAUAUAUUGAUUCUUCAUCUACUAUAGUCCAACACAACAUUUCUAUGUGUUAUAUUUAAAUGCUUUUAAAAUAUUGAUUACAUUUAUAUAUUGUGAGAUUUCUGGUUUGCUCAGUUAAAUUAUUCCGUUUCUUUAUUGCUCUAAAUCGAAAUGUUCUUUUGCCUAUUUCUCUUUUCUGUCUGGAUAACACAAUCUAUUCCUAGUAUUUACUGAAUGUCUGUCUCUUACCAACUGAAUACUGUUGUGGUUGUGAAUAGAGUUUGGCCGUUUAAAAUGGUGUAUAUUAUGAAAUAAAAUAAGCAUGUUUUUUUCAAUUAUCUUGUUGAUUGAUGACCAACAAAGCGCAUUGCGCAUGACUACAACAGA